rnacentral:rRNA from 1 species
UGGGGAAUAUUGGACAAUGGGCGCAAGCCUGAUCCAGCCAUGCUGCGUGAGUGAUGACGGCCUUAGGGUUGUAAAGCUCUUUCGCUCGGGACGAUAAUGACGGUACCGAGAUAAGAAGCCCCGGCUAACUUCGUGCCAGCAGCCGCGGUAAUACGAAGGGGGCUAGCGUUGUUCGGAAUUACUGGGCGUAAAGCGCGUGUAGGCGGGUCUUUAAGUCAGAGGUGAAAUGCCAAGGCUCAACCUUGGAACUGCCUUUGAUACUGGAGAUCUUGAGUCCGGGAGAGGUGAGUGGAAUUGCGAGUGUAGAGGUGAAAUUCGUAGAUAUUCGCAAGAACACCAGUGGCGAAGGCGGCUCACUGGCCCGGAACUGACGCUGAGACGCGAAAGCGUGGGGAGCAAACAGGAUUAGAUACCCUGGUAGUCCACGCCGUAAACGAUGGAUGCUAGCCGUUGGGGAGCUUGCUCUUCAGUGGCGCAGCUAACGCUUUAAGCAUCCCGCCUGGGGAGUACGGUCGCAAGAUUA